rnacentral:lncRNA from 1 species
CUGAGAAGUUGAAUGAACAAAAUUAUUAAAUGUGUUCAUUCUUAGUCGUCAUUGAAGUACAACUUGGUAAACUACAAAACACAUCAAAUUCAGUUAUAAAAGUUCGAGUCAUAAAGGUAUACUAAUUAUUGUAUUGCCUGAAAGAGUGUCAUUGCUAUUAAUAGCAGUGAAGAAUUCAUGUACUCUGGAAGAAAAGAAAAUACGUAAGUAAAUGGUCAAUUAUUUGGCACAAAUCGGAG